rnacentral:rRNA from 1 species
UGGGGAAUUUUGGACAAUGGGGGCAACCCUGAUCCAGCAAUGCCGCGUGAAGGAUGAAGUAUUUCGGUAUGUAAACUUCGAAAGAAUAGGAAGAAUAAAUGACGGUACUAUUUAUAAGGUCCGGCUAACUACGUGCCAGCAGCCGCGGUAAUACGUAGGGACCAAGCGUUGUUCGGAUUUACUGGGCGUAAAGGGCGCGUAGGCGGCAUGACAAGUCACUUGUGAAAUCUCUGGGCUUAACCCAGAACGGCCAAGUGAUACUGUCGCGCUAGAGUGCAGAAGGGGCAAUCGGAAUUCUUGGUGUAGCGGUGAAAUGCGUAGAUAUCAAGAGGAACACCUGAGGUGAAGACGGGUUGCUGGGCUGACACUGACGCUGAGGCGCGAAAGCCAGGGGAGCAAACGGGAUUAGAUACCCCCGUAGUCCCUGAGCGGGCUGGCAAGGCGCAU